rnacentral:rRNA from 2 species
UCGGCUUAAGAUGAGCCCGCGUUGGAUUAGCUGGUUGGUGGGGUAAAGGCCUACCAAGGCGACGAUCCAUAGCUGGUCUGAGAGGAUGAUCAGCCACACUGGGACUGAGACACGGCCCAGACUCCUACGGGAGGCAGCAGUGGGGAAUAUUGGACAAUGGGCGCAAGCCUGAUCCAGCCAUGCCGCGUGAGUGAAGAAGGCCUUAGGGUUGUAAAGCUCUUUCACCGGUGAAGAUAAUGACGGUAGCCGGAGAAGAAGCCCCGGCUAACUUCGUGCCAGCAGCCGCGGUAAUACGAAGGGGGCUAGCGUUGUUCGGAUUUACUGGGCGUAAAGCGCGCGUAGGCGGAUAGAUAAGUCAGAGGUGAAAUCCCGGGGCUCAACCCCGGAAUUGCCUUUGAUACUGUUUAUCUUGAGUGCAGAAGAGGUAAGUGGAAUUCCGAGUGUAGAGGUGAAAUUCGUAGAUAUUCGGAGGAACACCAGUGGCGAANGCGGCUUACUGGUCUGCAACUGACGCUGAGGCGCGAAAGCGUGGGGAGCANACAGNNUUAGAUACCCUGGUAGUCCACGCUGUAAACGAUGGAAGCCAGCCGUCGGCAAACUUAUUUGUCGGUGGCGCAGCUAACGCAUUAAGCUUCCCGCCUGGGGGAGUACGGUCGC